UACGGAGGGUGCAAACGUUGCUCGGAAUCAUUGGGCGUAAAGGGCGCGUAGGCGGUGCGGUAAGUCCGCAGUGAAAUCUCUGGGCUCAACUCAGAGUCUGCUGUGGAAACUGCCGUGCUUGAGUGUGGGAGAGGUGAGUGGAAUUCCCGGUGUAGCGGUGAAAUGCGCAGAUAUCGGGAAGAACACCCACGGCGAAGGCAGCUCUCUGGGACGGUACUGGACGCUGAGACGCGAAAGCGUGGGGAGCGAACAGG
rnacentral:rRNA from 1 species